rnacentral:rRNA from 1 species
GACGAACGCUGGCGGCGUGCCUAACACAUGCAAGUCGAGCGGGGAGAAGAAUUCGUUUUUCUCUUUAGCGGCGGACGGGUGAGUAACACGUGGGUAACCUGCCUCAAAGAGGGGGAUAGCCUUCCGAAAGGAAGAUUAAUACCGCAUAAUAUCAGGAAGCUGCAUGGCAUUCUGAUUAAAGGAGCAAUCCGCUUUGAGAUGGACCCGCGGCGCAUUAGCUAGUUGGUGAGGUAACGGCCCACCAAGGCGACGAUGCGUAGCCGACCUGGGAGGGUGAUCGGCCACAUUGGAACUGAGACACGGUCCAGACUCCUAUGGGAGGCAGCAGUGGGGAAUCUUCCGCAAUGGACGAAAGUCUGACGGAGCAACGCCGCGUGAGUGAAGAAGGUAUUCGGAUCGUAAAACUCUGUUUUCAGGGACGAAUGUGCAGCUUGUAAAUAAUGAGUUGUAAUGACGGUACCUGAGUAGAAAGCCACGGCUAA